UGGCGGCCAUAGCGCCGUGGAACCACCUGAUCCCAUGCCGAACUCAGAAGUGAAACGCGGUAGCGCCGAUGGUAGUGUGGCAUUCGCCAUGCGAGAGUAGGACACUGCCAGGCA
rnacentral:rRNA from 12 species